AAAAUUUAACUGCUGUGUUGGUGGUUUCGUUUUCGGUAGCAAAUGCCUUAGUCUAUCUGGAGAAGGUGUCUACUAGUACUAGAAGGUAUUUGUACUUAGCCUGGUGUGGUUUGACUUCUCUAAAGUCAAUUUCUUACUUUUUUCUUGGCGAGUUUUUUCAGAGACAGUGGUCUGGGCUGUGUUUAGGACUUUGUUUGGCAUUUACUUGGGCGCAGGUUGUGCACUGGAGAGCUGCUUAAUCUGUUAGGCUUUGAAGACGGGGGAUCUUAAAAUGGCUCUGGAGGAGCUGAGGUAGCUUUGCUCUUCUUAAAUGGGUGGUAGACUGUAGGUAACUGAUUAACGUUUCUUUAAGAGUUCAGGGUAUGAAGAUUCUAAAGUCUGGAAGAAUCUACUAACUUUCCUGAUUUUUAUUGGCUCUGAGAUCCGAAGCCAGUUUUUUUUGUUGUUGUUGUUGAGUAUACGGGAUUGUCAGGCAGAUCUGGCUGUGGAAAGGAGACUGUGGGCAGCAAGUUUAGAGGCGUGACUGAAAGUCGCGCUGAGACCUGAGCUGCUGAAUCAGGUUUCUGGUUACUAUGGGCCACGGCCAUGUUUUCUUUUUGAUGUCCUUUGCAGUGGAUCACAGCUACCUGCUGAGAAACUCCUGGAGGGCAGAGGCAUGCCUGCCAUCUUCAUCAUUGCAUUACCACCACCCAACACUAUCGGGGGACCUGCCCUGAUAAUCAGCCUGCAAACAGUAAGAAGAUUCCCCUCUCUUUCUCAGUGGAUGUAAAGCAGUGAUUCUGCAUAAAUGUAUCAACCCUAUAGCUCAACUCCUUCUGGAGUGGACUUCCCCUAGACCUGGAGAGCGAGUCCUGCCUAGCGUACACGGCCUGAAGUUCGAGAUCUCUUCCAAUUCAGGUCAACAAGAAAACUCAAUUCCUCUUCAGAAAGUUAAGUGACUUAAAGAUUACAUAAGGGCUAAGAAGACAAGCCAGCUAAGCAUGUUCAAGACCGGGCUUUUUGAAACUGCAGUAAUUGAUCAUAACGAGACGGGGUUUCACCAUGUUGCCCAGGCUCGUCUAGAAGUCCUGGGCUGAAGCGAUCCGACCGCCUCCCAAAGUGCUGGGAUUACAGGAGUGAGCCAUCUCGCCCAGCCGGAAAAGUAUUUUUUGAUCUUAAAAUCUUACGUGGAAUGAAAGUGAACAAUGAGGCAAUGAAAGUGGAAGUUUCUCUUAAGCAAAUACAGAGGUCAACCAUUCCAGCUUUCUAAGGUACUGGUAAUACUCUUUCGUCUAUUUUAUUUUAUGGCAUAAUUUUAAGACUCCUGUGAGCUAUGUCUUUAGGGGAAGUUUGGGAGGGACAGGCAGAGUGUCAAUACUGAAUUAACAUCAGUUUAAUUUUCGCCCAUGGUUAUCUGGGCCUCAUUCCAGCAUUAAGACUUUCAGAAAAAACAUUGAGAUAAAGCUGGCUUUUUAUACCAAUAGGUGGCAGUAUUGCUUUGAAACAAACGACAGCAACGACACCGUACUGUCCCAUUUUAAGAAACUUCUAGAUCCAUUGCAUUUCUAAAAUCUUACACUUUUAUUAGACCUCGACUUUUUAAUUUAAUUUUAUUUGUAUUUAUUUAUUUAUUUAUUUAUGUAUUUGGAGACAGGGUCUCGCUCUGUCCCCCAGGCUGGAGUGCAGUGGCGCGAUCUCUGCUCACUGCAACCUCUGCCUCCCGGGUUCAAGCAAUUCUCCUACCUCAGCCUCCGGAGAAGCUGGGAUUACAGGCAUGCACCACCACACUCGGCUAACUUUUUGUAUUUUAGUAGAGAUGGGGUUUCACCGUAUUGCCCAGGCUAGUCUAGAAGUCCUGAGCUCAGGCAAUCCGUCCGCCUCGACCUCCCAAAGGCUAGGAUUACAGCAUGAGCCUCCGCGCCCGGCCUUUUUUUUGACCGUCUGGUGGCUUUGUCUCCCAGGUUGGAGUGCAGUGGCGCCAUCAUAGCUCACUGCAGCUUUGACCUCCCGGGCUCAAAUGAUCCUCCCACCUCAGCCUCCCGAGUAGCUGGGACCACAGGCACACGCCACCAUGCCCAGCUUCUAGGCUUCAACAUGCCCCCCAAAAUGACAGUGGAAUAGCCAGAUGCGGUGGUGCCAGCCUGUAGUCCCAGCUACUUGGGGGACUGAGGUGAGAAGAUCGCUCACCAGGAGGUCGAGGCUCCAGUUGGCUGAUUGUGCCACUGGGUGACAGAGCCAGAACUUGUCUCAAAAAACAAAACGAAACAAAAGUGGAUUAAAUAAAGCACCAACGUGGUAUUUGAAGAAAAUUAAAAAGGACUCACCAAUAUCACCCGUUCAUUCAGAGCCUUGCCUUUGGAAGAAACACACACUCAUUUAUCUUCCCCCAGGAAGGCCUCUUUCCUAUCAAGUAAACCUACAGUGAUGAUUAAUGCAGAAAAACAGGCCCCGUGUUGCAAAUGAUAAGUUUGCUUCUCUGAGAACCUCCAGAUUAGGUUACAUUCAAUUCACUAAUCUAGUCUCCAGCCUGGCAAAAAUUUACUGUGAAAACGUCUUCAAGUAAGUGUCUUUUUUACACUGACUGUUGGGAUAGGACUGGAAUCAGCGAUCACAAUUUGAUCCUAAUUUGUUGAUGUUCCCUUAAUUUUUAAAAAUUUUUGCAUGUACAUGCACUCAUGUAACCAUCACACUGAUUAAAAUAUAGAAUAUUUCUAGUACCUAAGAAGGUUUCCUAUGCUCGCUCAAACUUUAAAAUCAGAAAAAAAUAUAUUUCUCAAUUUGUGUGUUUAAAACCAAA